GGUUAAGCGACUAAGCGUACACGGUGGAUGCCCUGGCAGUCAGAGGCGAUGAAGGACGUGCUAAUCUGCGAUAAGCGUCGGUAAGGUGAUAUGAACCGUUAUAACCGGCGAUUUCCGAAUGGGGAAACCCAGUGUGAUUCGUCACACUAUCAUUAACUGAAUCCAUAGGUUAAUGAGGCGAACCGGGGGAACUGAAACAUCUAAGUACCCCGAGGAAAAGAAAUCAACCGAGAUUCCCCCAGUAGCGGCGAGCGAACGGGGAGGAGCCCAGAGCCUGAAUCAGUGUGUGUGUUAGUGGAAGCGUCUGGAAAGGCGCGCGAUACAGGGUGACAGCCCCGUACACAAAAAUGCACAUGCUGUGAGCUCGAUGAGUAGGGCGGGACACGUGGUAUCCUGUCUGAAUAUGGGGGGACCAUCCUCCAAGGCUAAAUACUCCUGACUGACCGAUAGUGAACCAGUACCGUGAGGGAAAGGCGAAAAGAACCCCGGCGAGGGGAGUGAAAAAGAACCUGAAACCGUGUACGUACAAGCAGUGGGAGCCUCUUUAUGGGGUGACUGCGUACCUUUUGUAUAAUGGGUCAGCGACUUAUAUUCUGUAGCAAGGUUAACCGAAUAGGGGAGCCGAAGGGAAACCGAGUCUUAACUGGGCGUUAAGUUGCAGGGUAUAGACCCGAAACCCGGUGAUCUAGCCAUGGGCAGGUUGAAGGUUGGGUAACACUAACUGGAGGACCGAACCGACUAAUGUUGAAAAAUUAGCGGAUGACUUGUGGCUGGGGGUGAAAGGCCAAUCAAACCGGGAGAUAGCUGGUUCUCCCCGAAAGCUAUUUAGGUAGCGCCUCGUGAAUUCAUCUCCGGGGGUAGAGCACUGUUUCGGCAAGGGGGUCAUCCCGACUUACCAACCCGAUGCAAACUGCGAAUACCGGAGAAUGUUAUCACGGG
rnacentral:rRNA from 1 species